rnacentral:misc_RNA from 1 species
GAGAAAGAUCAGAACUAUCAUCAGAAAACAGUUAGCUUUGAAAUAUAAAACACCUUAUGAUUUACUAUAAUUUAAACAUAAUACUAAUUGAGUUAUGAUUUACAAGAUGUGGGCAGUUGGGGUGGGGGGAUUAUAUAACAAGAAAUCAUUCCUGGAGGACAAAUGAGCCUUCUAUUCUUUUCCCCAGGGGUUGUGAAGCAAAACUCAAAGGAUUUAGCACAUCGUUAAAACUUGAAGAAGGAGCAGGCUUGAAUUCAUAAGGACCUCCUUUUACACCCCAAACUUGAUUGCCAUCAUCAUCAAAGCCUCUAUCCCAGGCAUGUAUCUCAUUAUUCUUUAACACAGCAAGUUCUGAGGUACAGUAUGUCGCACCAUUCCAUGAAUUAGGAAAUCCAUCUGCAGGUGUUGAACCUUCAUACAAGCACCGUUUCCCACGCUCACAGCGCUUUAGAUGAAUGGUAGUCAAAUGUUCAGCAAUGUCCCCAAUAACUUCUUCGGGUUGUGGACGCUGAUCCCUAGGGCGAUCACAAAAGUUCUUGUACUCCUCUGCAUCUCUGAUAGCAUAUGUGCUUAACUCAACAUCACAUUUCAAC